UGCAGUCGAGCGGUAGCACAGAGAGCUUGCUCUCGGGUGACGAGCGGCGGACGGGUGAGUAAUGUCUGGGAAACUGCCUGAUGGAGGGGGAUAACUACUGGAAACGGUAGCUAAUACCGCAUAACGUCGCAAGACCAAAGUGGGGGACCUUCGGGCCUCAUGCCAUCAGAUGUGCCCAGAUGGGAAUUAGCUGGUAGGUGGGGUAACGGCUCACCUAGGCGACGAUCCCUAGCUGGUCUGAUGAGAGGGAUGACCAGCCACACUGGAACUGAGACACGGUCCAGACUCCUACGGGAGGCAGCAGUGGGGAAUAUUGCACAAUGGGCGCAAGCCUGAUGCAGCCAUGCCGCGUGUGUGAAGAAGGCCUUCGGGUUUGUAAAGCACUUUCAGCGGGGAGGAAGGCGAUAAGGUUAAUAACCUUGUCGAUUGACGUUACCCGCAGAAGAAGCACCGGCUAACUCCGUGCCAGCAGCCGCGGUAAUACGGAGGGUGCAAGCGUUAAUCGGAAUUACU
rnacentral:rRNA from 1 species